rnacentral:rRNA from 1 species
GAUGAACGCUGGCGGCGUGCCUAAUACAUGCAAGUCGAGCGAACGGACGAGAAGCUUGCUUCUCUGAUGUUAGCGGCGGACGGGUGAGUAACACGUGGAUAACCUACCUAUAAGACUGGGAUAACUUCGGGAAACCGGAGCUAAUACCGGAUAAUAUUUUGAACCGCAUGGUUCAAAAGUGAAAGACGGUCUUGCUGUCACUUAUAGAUGGAUCCGCGCUGCAUUAGCUAGUUGGUAAGGUAACGGCUUACCAAGGCAACGAUGCAUAGCCGACCUGAGAGGGUGAUCGGCCACGCUAGAACUGAGACACGGACCAGACUCCUACGAUAUGCAGCAGUAGGUAAUCUUCCGCAAUAGGCGAAAGCCUGACGGAGCAACGCCGCGUGAGUUAUGGAGGUCUUCGGAUCGUAAAGCUCUGUUAUGAGGGGAGAACAUAUGUGUAAGUAACUGUACUCAGCUUGACGGUACCUAAUCAGAAAGCCACGGCUAACUACGUG